rnacentral:tRNA from 1 species
GCUCCUGUAGUUCAACGGAUAGAACGGAGGUUUCCUAAACCUUAAAUCUGGGUUCGAUUCCCGGCAGGAGCACCA